rnacentral:rRNA from 1 species
GACGAACGCUGGCGGCGUGCCUAACACAUGCAAGUCGAGCGGAGCUAGUAGCAAUAUUAGCUUAGCGGCGGACGAGUGAGUAACGCGUGGGCAACCUGCCUUCUACAGGGGGAUAACACAGGGAAACUUGUGCUAAUACCGCAUAACAUACUUAGGGGACAUCCCUUGGGUAUCAAAGGAGCAAUCCGGUAGAAGAUGGGCCCGCGUCCGAUUAGCUAGUUGGAGGUGUAACGGACCACCAAGGCGACGAUCGGUAGCCGAACUGAGAGGUUGAUCGGCCACAUUGGGACUGAGACACGGCCCAGACUCCUACGGGAGGCAGCAGUGGGGAAUAUUGCGCAAUGGGGGAAACCCUGACGCAGCAACGCCGCGUGAAGGAUGAAGGUCUUCGGAUUGUAAACUUCUUUAGUCGGGGACGAAGAAAUGACGGUACCCGAAGAAUAAGCCACGGCUAACUACGUGCCAGCAGCCGCCUAAAAC